AAGAAAGAAGGAAAGAAAGAAAGAAAGACAAAGAUCUACUGACAUUGGCAAAACUGAAAUGAUACUGGGAAUACCCAAAGGUCAAAUCCAAUGAGUUGGAUUUGUUGUUACAUCAAAAGGGUGAUUGUACUUGGCUUCCAAUCAUGUUCCUGGUGGCCUCACUUCUCCAGAACAUACUUGGGAACCAAGAGUGGUUCACUCAACAUAACCACAAAUGCCUUUCUGGAACCUAUGCAAAGAUGUCAGCAACUUCAAGUAAGAGUGGAUGUGUUUGGCCUUGCGCAUUCAUUGCAUAUCUCACCAGCUGCUAUUUAGAAUCGACUCUGGAUAGUUUGCAUUCUCAGCAGAGAGACAAAGUAGAAAGAUAUGGACUCCCUCUGGAGUGGGUUUUUAGGGGCACGAGGCCAUAGCAAGAAGGAGUGCCCAGAGAGGUGGCACCUCCCAAAGCCCUGAAGUAAAGGUGUUGGUCUGGGAGCUGGAGGUGUGUCCUGGGCCUUGGAGAGCCCAGGUCAGCCUCUUCCCAUUUCUGGGCUCUGCUUUCUUCCCCAGCAAGACUGAAGAGCUGCACCAGGCCUGGGAUACGAUGACCAAGAAUAGUUUAUAAUCCAUGCUUGUUACUGCCUUUCCUCCAGAAAUAUGCCUAGAACAGCCACCCCUGCCCCCAAGGACAGCAGGCUCAAUCACUCGGCGGUCCCCGGGCCCCAGCCCAUGUCUAUCCACCUGGAAUCGAGUUGGGAUGAACAUCAAGGGUAUCUCUGGAAGGAAAGGGAUCACUGCACUGAGGACGGGUGUGGAUGUGGCUGGGGGUGGGCGGCGUGAGGAGGCCUGUCCCAGUCUCUCGGCUCUGGGGAAAUUAUAUUAAUAUGAGGCACAAGUCUUUCUAGGCCUGGCCUGGAGACCUGCCCCCACCCCUCAGCAGCCUGUCCUCAGCUCUCCGCCCGGCGGCAGAAGAGGACCCCGAAAGCAGGGCUCUGGGGCACAAGCCUUGAUCACCAGACCUCCGGGCCGGUUCAGUCAGCAGCUUUCCUUGGGGUCACCACCUUUGUUAGGAGGAAGAAAGGCCCCUCACGGGGCAGGGACCCAGGCUGAAUCCUGGGGGAGAGUGGCUGGCCCCGGCUCUGGGAAGGGAAGGCACAGAGAAUGAAGUGGGACACUGAGGAACGGCCUGGCCUGCAGGACUGGCUUCACCUGAAGCUGAGCGCCAAGUUCCCUACGUCCACCCCAAUGCCCUGGGCAUCUAACGGCGUGCGGCAGCACAGAGUCCAGACAACGUUGCUUCUGGCAGGCCCUUUAGGACACUCCCCAGGGGCCAAGAGCAAGGAGCGAACACUGGGUUUCUCACCUCCAGAAUAGGGUUCUUUUUGGAGAAGGAGGCAGGGGGUGGUCGCCAUUAGCCUCUUCCAGAAUCAUUGAAAACUGUGGGCCCUCGCCCCUCAAAAACUCCCACAUGCACAUUCCACAUUCUGCAGCCUCUCAGGAGACACACCUGCCUCUCCCCCAUGCCCCCCGGGGAUGAUGCUGCUCGAUUGCCCCUUGUCCACUCCAUCUGGGAGUGGCCAUUAGACUAGACAAACCAUGAGAGACUCCUGACUCUGGGAAACAAAGGGUUGCAGAAGGGGAGGCAGGCAGGGGGAUAGGGUAACUGGGUGAUGGGCAUUAAGGAGGGCACUUGAUGGGAUGAGCACUGGGUGUUACACUAUAUGUUGGCAAGUUGAAUUUAAAUAAAAUAUUUUUCAAAAAGAAUGCAGAUUCCAGGGGCCCACCCUGGACCUAUGGAAUCAGAAUCCUUGGGUUGUGGGUGGGGGAAUCCUGGAAUGUGCCCUUGGGAUUCCUUUGGGGAGCAAAGCCCUCGAGUGAAAGGAGCCCCUAGAGUAGGAUCCCCUUAACAAGCCCCCUGGCUGAUUCAGCUGCAGGCAGAUGAUUAGGGAGGGAGAGAGGGCUGGAAGCUGGCUCACCACCUCACUCUGGAGUACUGAGAAGAGGCUGGGCGCCAGGAAUUCUGUGAGCUGGGUGAGGCUUUAGCUCAUCCCAUGAGGGGCUUAAGGCCUGGUGGCUAAGGUCUGUCCAUCUACCUAAUUUUAGCUUUUAUUAGCAUUACAGUGUAGACUUCUGAGCCAAACAAGGGAAAGACCUUCGCGCUUCAAAGUAGUGUAUCCACCCACAUUGUUGGUGCUGAACAGUUUUAUAUUGAUGGUUUUGCAUUUCCUUUACUGAGGUGGCUUGGUUUCUUACUUACAAAAAUUAAAUAUAUAUAUGUAUAUAUUUAUAUAAAUUUUAUAUAUUCAUGUACACAUUUAUUUAAAAUAUAUUUGCUUAUAUUUACAUU